AGGUUAAGCAGGAAAGAGCACAGGGCGGAUGCCUUGGCACUGGGAGCCGACGAAAGACGUGAUAAGCUGCGAAAAGCCGUGGGGAGGAGCAAAUAUCCGGUGAUCCACGGAUGUCUGAAUGGGGGAACCCACAUGGAAAGACUCCAUGUAUCCAUGCCUGAAUCCAUAGGGCAUGGAAGGGAACCCGGCGAACUGAAACAUCUAAGUAGCCGGAGGAAGAGAAAGAAACAUCGAUUCCGGGAGUAGCGGCGAGCGGAACCGGAAGAGCCCAAACCGCAGUGCGUGCACUGCGGGGUUCGGACUGCACAAGUGACUGGAAGGGACAGGGGAACGGACCUGGAAAGACCGGCCGGAGAGGGUGAAAGCCCCGUAGCCGAAGUCCCGGAAAGCGCGGCAGGAUCCAGAGUACCACGGGACACGGGAAACCCUGUGGGAAUGAGCGGGGACCACCCCGUAAGGCUAAAUACUCCUCAGUGACCGAUAGAGCAGAGUACUGUGAAGGAAAGGUGAAAAGGACCCCGGGAGGGGAGUGAAAGAGAACCUGAAACCCUGUGUUUACAAACUGUGGAACACUUACAAAGGUGGACCGCGUACUUUUUGUAGAACGGUCCGGCGAGUUGCGGGUGCUGGCAAGGUUAAAUGCUUCAGGCAUGGAGCCGGAGGGAAACCAAGUCUUAAUAGGGCGUAAAGUCAGCAGCUGCAGACCCGAAACCGGGUGACCUACCCAUGUCCAGGAUGAAGCUGCCGUAAGAGGCAGUGGAGGUCCGGACCCACAUCCGUUGAAAAGGGUGGGGAUGAGGUGUGGGUAGGGGAGAAAUUCCAAUCGAACCCGGAGAUAGCUGGUUCUCCUCGAAAUAGCUUUAGGGCUAGCCUCAUGGUGAGCCGGAUGGAGGUAGAGCACUGAAUACCCUAGGGGGCGUCAAAGCCUACCGAAGGUUAUCAAACUCCGAAUGCCAUCCCGGUAUACAUGGGAGUCAGACUGCACGAGAUAAGUUGGGCAGUCAAAAGGGAAAGAGCCCAGACCCGCGGCUAAGGUCCCAGAGUGCGUGUUAAGUGGAAAAGGAUGUGGGAUUUCGAAGACAGCUAGGAUGUUGGCUCAGAAGCAGCCACACAUUCAAAGAGUGCGUAAUAGCUCACUAGUCGAGAGGUCCUGCGCCGAAAAUGUCCGGGGCUGAAACACGGCACCGAAGCCCGGGGAUGCAUGCAGAGGCAUGGAUCGGUAGAGGAGCAUUGUUAACUUAAAGAAGCCGUACCGGAAGGGGCGGUGGAAGGUUAAGAAGAGAGAAUGCCGGAAUGAGUAGCGAGAGCAAGGUGGGAAUCCUUGCGGCCGGAUAUCCGAGGUUUCCAGGGUAAAGCUGAUCUGCCCUGGGUAAGUCGGGGCCUAAGGCGAGGCAUAAGUGCGUAGCCGAUGGACAGCAGGUGGAGAUUCCUGCACUGG
rnacentral:rRNA from 1 species